GGGUUGGUAGCUCAGCUGGUAGAGCAGCGCCCUUUUAAGGCGUUGGUCCUGGGUUCGAGUCCCAGCCAACCCACCA
rnacentral:tRNA from 1 species